CUACGGGAUGCUGCAGUGGGGAAUAUUGCACAAUGGGCGAAAGCCUGAUGCAGCAACGCCGCGUGGAGGAUGACACAUUUCGGUGCGUAAACUCCUUUUAUAUAGGAAGAUAAUGACGGUACUAUAUGAAUAAGCGCCGGCUAACUCCGUGCCAGCAGCCGCGGUAAUACGGAGGGCGCAAGCGUUACUCGGAAUCACUGGGCGUAAAGAGCGUGUAGGCGGAUAGAUAAGUUGGGAGUGAAAUCCCAUGGCUCAACCAUAGAACUGCUUCCAAAACUGUCUAUCUAGAGUAUGGGAGAGGUAGAUGGAAUUUCUGGUGUAGGGGUAAAAUCCGUAGAGAUCAGAAGGAAUACCGAUUGCGAAGGCGAUCUACUGGAACAUUACUGACGCUGAGACGCGAAAGCGUGGGGAGCAAACAGGAUUAGAUACCCUUGUAGUC
rnacentral:rRNA from 1 species